AAUCCAUAGGUUAAUGAGGCGAACCGGGGGAACUGAAACAUCUAAGUACCCCGAGGAAAAGAAAUCAACCGAGAUUCCCCCAGUAGCGGCGAGCGAACGGGGAGGAGCCCAGAGCCUGAAUCAGCAUGUGUGUUAGUGGAAGCGUCUGGAAAGGCGCGCGAUACAGGGUGACAGCCCCGUACACAAAAGCGCAUGUGCUGUGAGCUCGAUGAGUAGGGCGGGACACGUGGUAUCCUGUCUGAAUAUGGGGGGACCAUCCUCCAAGGCUAAAUACUCCUGACUGACCGAUAGUGAACCAGUACCGUGAGGGAAAGGCGAAAAGAACCCCGGCGAGGGGAGUGAAAAAGAACCUGAAACCGUGUACGUACAAGCAGUGGGAGCACAGGUUUACCUGUGUGACUGCGUACCUUUUGUAUAAUGGGUCAGCGACUUAUAUUCUGUAGCAAGGUUAACCGAAUAGGGGAGCCGGAGGGAAACCGAGUCUUAAUUGGGCGUUAAGUUGCAGGGUAUAGACCCGAAACCCGGUGAUCUAGCCAUGGGCAGGUUGAAGGUUGGGUAACACUAACUGGAGGACCGAACCGACUAAUGUUGAAAAAUUAGCGGAUGACCUGUGGCUGGGGGUGAAAGGCCAAUCAAACCGGGAGAUAGCUGGUUCUCCCCGAAAGCUAUUUAGGUAGCGCCUCGUGAAUUCAUCUCCGGGGGUAGAGCACUGUUUCGGCUAGGGGGCCAUCCCGGCUUACCAACCCGAUGCAAACUGCGAAUACCGGAGAAUGUUAUCACGGGAGACACACGGCGGGUGCUAACGUCCGUCGUGAAGAGGGAAACAACCCAGACCGCCAGCUAAGGUCCCAAAGUCAUGGUUAAGUGGGAAACGAUGUGGGAAGGCCCAGACAGCCAGGAUGUUGGCUUAGAAGCAGCCAUCAUUUAAAGAAAGCGUAAUAGCUCACUGGUCGAGUCGGCCUGCGCGGAAGAUGUAACGGGGCUAAACCAUGCACCGAAGCUGCGGCAGCGACACUGUGUGUUGUUGGGUAGGGGAGCGUUCUGUAAGCCUGUGAAGGUGGCCUGUGAGGGUUGCUGGAGGUAUCAGAAGUGCGAAUGCUGACAUAAGUAACGAUAAAGCGGGUGAAAAGCCCGCUCGCCGGAAGACCAAGGGUUCCUGUCCAACGUUAAUCGGGGCAGGGUGAGUCGACCCCUAAGGCGAGGCCGAAAGGCGUAGUCGAUGGGAAACGGGUUAAUAUUCCCGUACUUGGUGUUACUGCGAAGGGGGGACGGAGAAGGCUAUGUUGGCCGGGCGACGGUUGUCCCGGUUUAAGCGUGUAGGUGUGUGUUCCAGGUAAAUCCGGUUCACUUUAACACUGAGGCGUGAUGACGAGGCACUACGGUGCUGAAGCAACAAAUGCCCUGCUUCCAGGAAAAGCCUCUAAGCAUCAGGUAACAUCAAAUCGUACCCCAAACCGACACAGGUGGUCAGGUAGAGAAUACCAAGGCGCUUGAGAGAACUCGGGUGAAGGAACUAGGCAAAAUGGUGCCGUAACU
rnacentral:rRNA from 1 species